UCACCUGGGGAUCUUGUUAAAAUGUAUACUGGAAAUCAGUGGAACCCGAGAUUCUGCAGGUCUAACAAGUUCCCAGGUGACGC
rnacentral:pre_miRNA from 1 species